AUGAUAGUGAAGGAAGCUCGAUAUAUUGCCAUAACAAUGAUGAAGGUUUAUGAAAAUUAUUCAUUUGAAGAACUACGUUUUGCAUCACCAACUCCUAAGAGACCCAGUGAGAAUAUGCUGAUCCGUGUCAAUAAUGAUGGGACUUAUUGUGCAAAUUGGACUCCAGGGGCUAUUGGACUCUACACUCUUCAUGUUACCAUUGAUGGCAUUGAAAUCGGUAUUUUCUUUAAAGCCAUGAGCUACUACUUACUUCAAAUAACUAGAGUCAAAAUUAUUUUUAUCUUCUAGUUUUGCCCUUUAACUUGUACUAGACAUAUGGAUAGGUUUCAUAACUUAUUUGAGGCCUUGUUUUCUCUUUCAUAAUGAGUAUUUAAUUAGUGCAUUAACAUUUUGUAAUAAUUUCUGGUGUCCGCCCAGGCACUGUAGCCCUCAUGACUCUCUCCCUCCAUUUCCUGAUGUGACUAGUCAGGUGUGCUCUCUUCCACGCUGCUGUUACCCUGUCUCUCCCCUGUGGGUGUGUCUGUGCCUCUCCUGACUGUGAGCAG
rnacentral:sRNA from 1 species